rnacentral:lncRNA from 1 species
AGGUUUCUCCAAGUUCCCAAAAUUGAGAACCUCUAAGUCUCCACACCAAGGAGAGAUUGGAGAAGAAAAUGAAUGACCUUGGAAUAGUAGUAUGGCUAGAUACACCCUCCAAGGGGCCGACCUCUUUAGAGAGAAAUGGAGAGACAUGUUCUCUUCAAUUUUCUCCAAAACAAACCCUUAAUUAAUUUUGGCUAUAAAGUCAUAUUUAUACCUUUAUUCAUUUGAGUGGCAAACUUGUAAUUAA